UCAAUAGAAUGAUUAUUAAUGACACAGGUAACAUGUGUUACUAGUGAGGCUGCGGAGAAAUUGGGAUCUCCUUGGUCUCUGUUUCCAGCACUGCUCAAACUCUAGUCUCUCCUUUCUAUUCUUGAACUAGUAAAAGCUGCUGUCUAAUAAUCAGCUGCAGAUUGUCCCAUAAGAUUGUCCCAUACUCUGUGUCUGUAUUGUCCUUCUCUCUCUGCCAGGAACUUCCAGGAGACUCCCAGCGCUUCUGCAGGCCUCAGUGAGCAGAGAAUCUUCCUCUCCAGUGCCGCCCUGCAGAUCCCAGCCAUUUCUGCUGCUGAGAACAGAGCCUUUGCCUCCUGAACGCAGUGAGAAUGCUGUGUUUUGCUCAGGCCUGUGAUUCUCUGUGCUCAGAUCAGCCGAUUGGCCACAGGUAAAAAUUUUGUGAAACCAUGUUCUGCUCCUUGAAGAAAUGGCCUUGAUCAGUUUCUAUGUUUUUCUACCUUUCCUUAUUUUAAUGGCCGUCAUUGUUCUUAAAUGGAAUAAAAUGAGAUUUUGGAAAAGAGAGGCAACAACAAGUGGAGGGACCAGAACCAACUGAAAGUACGCAGUCAGUGCUCAGUGCCGUUCACACAGGAAGCCACGUGGGCUAGAGUUUCUGUAGGAGGUUCUGGCUGCUCUCCAAGCAACCCCAUUCCCCGCAUUGCCAUUCAUUUGUGCCAAGGAGAUCAAUACAUACAGGGAAGCAGGUUUGGUGACUAGAAUAUGGAGAAGGUGGAAAAACUAUAAGAUGACCAAGAAGGAGGGAGAGAACAUGAGACAGAACACUGCCCAUUUAACACUUAAUUAAUAUAAUAUUGCUCAUAUGUUUCUAAAAUUAGAAUUAAGGUACUUGCAUAGCUGUUGCUUUGUAGAGCAGAGCUUGGUUAGGUCUUCAUUCUCAUUAGGUAUGACUGGGAGAUGACAUAUUUUGGGUGUCCGACAUAAGGAGGUGAUACAUACACACUGUGAAAUGAUCAGCGUGACAUGACAUACAGUUAACAUGUGUCACUGAAUGUAGUCAAAAAAAGCUCUUUUCUUAUGAUGAUUUUUAAGAUGUAUUCUCUUAGUAAGUGUAGUCCGUAUGUUGUGCAUUACAUCACCAUGACUUUUUAAUUUUUAUUUUGUAAGCUUGUACCUGUUGACCCUCUUCACUCAUUUAGCCCACCCCCUGCUCCUGCCAACAGUCUGUUCUCUGUAUCUAUCUGCUUGCUUUUGUUUUUAAUGCUUAGAUUCCACAUAUGAGUGAGAUCAUUAUUUGUCUUUUUGACUUAUUUUACUUCAGAGUUUUUUCAUUACAACACGAAUACAAACCACAAUUUGCUUAGUGAAUAUUUAGGAAAAUGAGAAUGCCAAAGUAAGGAUAAGUAAAUGGGUCUCAUUCCUCCAAACUAAAGGAAAAUGUCUGUCUCUCACUUGUGUAGAUGGAGAUAAAAUUAUGGUAUAAAAAAACUUCCAUCAACACCUCUGUUUCCCAAGUUAGUUAGUUUUAUUUACCCACAAGUUAGUAACACCCAGUUAAAGUCAGGGUAGAAUUCUGCAUGAUGCACAUGGUCAUUUACAUAAUCACCAUCCAGUUGCUCUAAGUGGACUGGAUGGAAGGCUGUCUGGCAGAAUCUCCCUGUGCUCUUAUUUAAGGCACCUUGGACAAACCUCAGUGGUUGCUAGAAGUAACCUGACUUCUGUGGCCUAAGGGAGUAACAAAAUCUGGUCCUGACAGCCUCAGUUUCAGAGCAGCAAUAAGUGGUUUCGGGCUGCACAGGUAAGAGAUGACGUGGAGCUGAUGCCCAAAGGGUGGCGACAGCCUGGCUGGUUGGGAACCAGGUCCUGCUCCCGUUUCCCAAGGGCCUUAUGGUCGACAUCACGUCCUGGUCUGUGGCCUUUCUCUCCAAAAUGACUGCUCUGCUUGCACGUGGCCCAGCAGACCUUCCUGAAUCCUUUCUAGAUUCAUUUUCAAAUAAAACACCAAUAAUCUGUCCACAGCCAAUGCCUUGUAGUUCCUACUCCAGGAGACAGAAGGAGCUAGCUGUGCAGGUGGACCUAAAUUCAGCCAGUGUUCUGCUGGAUUUACACCCCUGAGUGAGGUGCUCAAACCUGACCUCACCUGUGGCCCAGGAACUGAAGCCACGUAGGGGGAACCUGAGCACCAGACACUCUUCCUCCUCAUCAGGCACUGGGUGUGGGAAGGAGCCCAAGAAAAAAUGGAGGCUGUGAAAAUACCACCAAAUGUAACUGAAUGUUACAUUUGUGAAAAGACACAGA